rnacentral:rRNA from 1 species
UACAGAGGGUGCGAGCGUUGUCCGGAAUCACUGGGCGUAAAGGGCGCGUAGGCGGCCUGAUAAGUAGGGGGUGAAAUCCUGUGGCUUAACUGCAGGGCUGCCUCCUAGACUGUUAGGCUCGAGCACGGUAGAGGCAGAUGGAAUUCCCGGUGUAGCGGUGGAAUGCGUAGAGAUCGGGAAGAACAUCGGUGGCGAAGGCGGUUACCUGGAGCUUUGCUGACGCUGAUGCGCGAAAGCGUGGGGAGCGAUCCGG